UGCAUAUUCCAAAAGCGGAGGAAAAGAAACCAACAGGGAUUGCCCUAGUAACGGCGAGUGAAGCGGCAACAGCUCAAAUUUGAAAGCUAGCCUUCGGGUUCGCAUUGUAAUUUGUAGAGGAUGAUUUGGGGAAGCCGCCUGUCUAAGUUCCUUGGAACAGGACGUCAUAGAGGGUGAGAAUCCCGUAUGUGACAGGAAAUGGCACCCUAUGUAAAUCUCCUUCGACGAGUCGAGUUGUUUGGGAAUGCAGCUCUAAAUGGGAGGUAAAUUUCUUCUAAAGCUAAAUAUUGGCGAGAGACCGAUAGCGCACAAGUAGAGUGAUCGAAAGAUGAAAAGCACUUUGGAAAGAGAGUUAAAAAGCACGUGAAAUUGUUGAAAGGGAAGCGCUUGCAAUCAGACUUGUUUAAACUGUUCGGCCGGUCUUCUGACCGGUUUACUCAGUUUGGACAGGCCAGCAUCAGUUUCGGCGGCCGGAUAAAGGCUCUGGGAAUGUGGCCUCCACUUCGGUGGAGGUGUUAUAGCCCAGGGUGUAAUACGGCCAGCCGGGACUGAGGUCCGCGCUUCGGCUAGGAUGCUGGCGUAAUGGUUGUAAGCGACCCGUCUUGACC
rnacentral:rRNA from 1 species